AUUGAACGCUGGCGGCAUGCUUUACACAUGCAAGUCGAACGGUAACAGGCCGCCAGGUGCUGACGAGUGGCGAACGGGUGAGUAAUGCAUCGGAACGUGCCCAGUCGUGGGGGAUAACUACUCGAAAGAGUAGCUAAUACCGCAUACGAUCUAUGGAUGAAAGCGGGGGACCGUAAGGCCUCGCGCGAUUGGAGCGGCCGCUGUCAGAUUAGGUAGUUGGUGGGGUAAAGGCUCACCAAGCCAACGAUCUGUAGCUGGUCUGAGAGGACGACCAGCCACACUGGGACUGAGACACGGCCCAGACUCCUACGGGAGGCAGCAGUGGGGAAUUUUGGACAAUGGGCGCAAGCCUGAUCCAGCAAUGCCGCGUGCAGGAAGAAGGCCUUCGGGUUGUAAACUGCUUUUGUACGGAACGAAACGGCUCUGGUUAAUACCCGGGGCUAAUGACGGUACCGUAAGAAUAAGCACCGGCUAACUACGUG
rnacentral:rRNA from 1 species